rnacentral:lncRNA from 1 species
AAAUAAAUAAAUAGUUUAUAAAAAGACUAAAAGAUGAUUCUUUCAAAUUCGGAUAAAUAUCAUUAUUUUUCCUUCUUUGGAAUCAGGAGGGUUGCAUUGGCAGUUCCUUUCGCACCUUCAACAAAUUUAGGAGGGGGUUUAGUUGCCGACUGUUUAGGAGAAUCGUCAAUAUCAUAAACCUUAGCCAUAUUAUGCUUCAAUUCAGAGAACCAAAAGAGCUCUCAAAAACCCAAACCCUAGCUUACAGAAUUGAUCAAAUCAAGAAGGCAAAUCAAGUUCAAAUCAAAAACCAAGCUCAAACUAGUGAUCACUCAAGUGAGGGGAUCACAAGGUAAUGCUCGUUUCAUUGUGGAUGUCGAUCAAGCAAGGAAAUCAAGAACCGAACACAAGUUUUGAAUGCUUCCGUGAUAAUCUAAUCUAGUUCAAACCAUGUUGUUUUGUAAACACUUCUAAACGUUGAAUAUUUUAAUCUAGUUAGUUGACUAUGUUCAAAUGCU